AAAAAUGUAAUAUAAUUAAAAAAAGAAACGAUUUUUCUUUAUUAGUUUGGCUGAAUACUAUGAAUUAUUGACAAAUGACUGAGCACAUUUGAAGUAAAUUCUCACAAACAGAUAAAAAAUGAAUCCUCUUUUAGAAAAAUGUUCCCCAGAUGCUUCGACUUUUACCUUUCCAGGCCCCUAAACUAAGCAAGAGGAGUCCAAGCAAAGCUCUGUUCUAAGCUUCCACACCAGGCAUUUGACUCAAGUGAAAUGGUAUCUGGAGAUCAGUUCUUUCAUCUGUUUUUUUGCAGGAUUAUGUCUAGAUACUAAAUCCCAUGUAUUCUUUUCCUUGAGAGAGGAUCUUGCUAUGUUAACCUGGCUAGGUUAACCUCAAGUUCACCAUUUUCCUGCUCCAGUUUCCAGAGUUCUGGAAGUAUAGGUGUACACCACCACCUGGCUUAUAUCCCAUGCAUUUUAUGUGUGCUGUGUAUAGCAUGUGGAGCUCACAGCUUGAUUUCAGGUACUUACUUUCACUGUCUUCACUCCCCCGACCCUUUGAGACAGGGUCUCUUACUAAAUUUGGAGCUAGACUGGCUAGACUGGCUGGCUAUCCAGCCACUGGAACUCUUAUCUUAUCUCUGCCUCCCAGUGUAGGGGUUAGGGCAUACACUAUCUACCAUUUUAUGUGGGUGCUAGGGAUCUGAACUCAAGUCAUCUUGUUAGUGGCAGCAACCACAUAUCCUCGGUCCCCUCCAAUGUAUUUCUUUCUUUUAUAAAAAACAUUUAUUAAUGUAUAUGAGAGCACUGUAGCUGUCUUUAGUCACAUCAGACAUAGUCAUGUGCGUAUACACCCACAUAAACAAAAACACUCAUAAAAUCUUAAAAAAAAAACCCUUCCCAUUUUGAAGUAAUUUUGUAAUUCACUUUUUUUUCAGUAGCUGAUUUAUUAAAUGGCCAAUCAGCACUGAAACUCUUGGGGAUUCAUUGAAUGUUUCUGUGGUUUGGAACUUGCUAGAAGCUGAGACAGUACACACAGAUAUUUAUAAUCUCUCCUCCAGGAAGCCUGUCGAGCACGGCAUCCGUGCAAGUUUCAAUAAUGGAGGCUAAGUUCUCACUGCACACAUAAAAUCCAGUUACACUGAAUUCUGAAGUGAACUAUUUACAGGACAUAU
ensembl:lincRNA Gm26824 predicted gene, 26824